CAAAUUUUGUCCCAGUAGAUAUUUAAACAAACAAACAAGCAAACAAACAAACAAAAAAAAAAGGAGGUGGGAAAGUAAUGUUUUUAUACUGCUGAGGGUUCUGAGCCACUCAGUGGAAGAUAUUCUGUUCUCUUCUGUUUCCCCAAGUUAUAAAAUGUGUUUUAUCAACAGCACGUAAGCAACUGCAAGUCUUAAGAUUUAAUUAAUCUUGUUAGGCAGAAGAUGGAAAUGAUCUACCUGAAGUAGACAGAAGCUGAAAUAUGGUUUGAAGUUGUGCUGUUGCAGUGUUUGCAUCCACCUAACUAAAUGACUGAGCUAAGUGUCAUGUACUGGAACGUCUGCAUAAGCUUGAGACAUCUGAAAUGCCUGGAUUUCUGACUGCUGCGCAGUAAUCCCAGCUGACUGCUGUCUGGAUAGUAAGAGGCCGGUUUUGCACUGCCUGCUAGAUUGUUCGUGUUGAAGAGAGCCUCAGCAACACUUCUGUAGCCAAGUCAGGUCAAUGUUUCUGUCUGAAAAGAGAAGCAGAUCUUGCAAGUAAACCUGUUCAUGUUUCAGAAUGCUGUCUCGUGUUUUCUUCUUUGUCAGCCUCUGAUGUUUUAUCUAGCUGCAUAGAUUUCAGUACCAUGACUUCUCAAAACUGUGAAUUUUAAUUUGAAGAAUGCUGGCUGAAUGGCUCCAUGUAAUUAAAAUAAUAGGUCCUUACAUUAGUUACAUCUGUAAAAUGCAUGAUGGAAAUGUCACCAUCUAUGCUUAAUUACUACUGUUAAAAAAUAGGAAGUAGAUUAGUUAGAUAUUCUGUUAACAAAAAGAUAUCAGGGAGUGCCUAAAGCCAAACAAAAAGCUCUGUAUCUGAAACUACAAAUCCCAAAUAUCAGAUUGGAUCUUAUUCUUCCUGGAUCUUCUUGUACCCACAAUAUUUAGAAAACCUAACUCCUAUUUUGUGUGAGUUUUAGAAAAAUGGAAAAAAUGUCUGUAUGCAUGAUGUAAAUGUACUUACUGAAACUGUGAGUUGUGCUGCAAAGUAUAAAAUGUUCAUUUGGUUCAUUGCUAUUACAAAG
ensembl:lncRNA